rnacentral:piRNA from 1 species
AGAGAUAAGGAACAGGUAGGCCC